rnacentral:rRNA from 1 species
UGGGGAAUAUUGCACAAUGGGCGCAAGCCUGAUGCAGCCAUGCCGCGUGUGUGAAGAAGGCCUUCGGGUUGUAAAGCACUUUCAGCGAGGAGGAAGGUGGUGAACUUAAUACGUUCAUCAAUUGACGUUACUCGCAGAAGAAGCACCGGCUAACUCCGUGCCAGCAGCCGCGGUAAUACGGAGGGUGCAAGCGUUAAUCGGAAUUACUGGGCGUAAAGCGCACGCAGGCGGUUUGUUAAGUCAGAUGUGAAAUCCCCGGGCUCAACCUGGGAACUGCAUUUGAAACUGGCAAGCUAGAGUCUCGUAGAGGGGGGUAGAAUUCCAGGUGUAGCGGUGAAAUGCGUAGAGAUCUGGAGGAAUACCGGUGGCGAAGGCGGCCCCCUGGACGAAGACUGACGCUCAGGUGCGAAAGCGUGGGGAGCAAACAGGAUUAGAUACCCCUGGUAGUCCACGCUGUAAAACGAUGUCGAUUUUGGAGGUUGUGCCCUUGAGGCGUGGCUUCCGGAGCUAACGCGUUAAAUCGACCGCCUGGGGGAG